rnacentral:rRNA from 1 species
UACGGGGGGUGCGAGCGUUAAUCGGAAUUACUGGGCGUAAAGCGCACGCAGGCGGUUUGUUAAGUCAGAUGUGGAAUCCCCGGGCUCAACCUGGGAACUGCAUCUGAUACUGGCAAGCUUGAGUCUCGUAGAGGGGGGUAGAAUUCCAUGUGUAGCGGUGAAAUGCGUAGAGAUGUAGAGGAAUACCGGUGGCGAAGGCGGCCCCCUGGACAAAGACUGACGCUCAUGUGCGAAAGCGUGGGGAGCAAACAGG